rnacentral:lncRNA from 1 species
GUAGCAACAUCCUCAUUGGGCUUUUCCUCGGGGAGCUUACGAGCUGGACCACCUUCUAAUGGCUUUCGACAUAAAAUCACCACCAAAACAAUAAAUAACACAACCAGACGAGAAAGGAAAAAUAAAUAAAUAACUAGGAUUACAUUAAGCAUUACCAAGAAAUCAGCAGCUGUAGAAGCAGUAACAGUUACAGAAGCAGUAGCAGCAGCUUCUCUUUUUUUGUGAGAAGAAGCUGAUAAUUGAGCAGAGGCUUUGCUCAAUUGCUUUUUCAUCGCCUUUUUCGCCUUCGCCCCCAUUUCGCUGCUGCGAAUUCAAUAAUAUGUUACUAAUCACAAUUUAAAUGAAAUUGAAUGAUUUAAUUUGGGAAAAAAAAAUGUAUAUACCAAUUGCAAGAAAUUGAAUUUAUAAACAAAAUUACAAGAAAUUGACAACAUUUACAGGAGUGCAGACUGCAGAGAACGAAAGUAUUCCCAAAUAAACUCACGGGUGCAAAAUCCAAGUCUAAUGGAGCUACAGUUUCUUUUAAAUUCAGUAUUUUCCCAGAAAACAAACAGAAAUUUAGGGUUCAUGAGAGAGCAAGCAAAAGGCAUAACUUGAAGGCAGCCGACAUUGUCAUGCCAUGAUAACAAUUAAAGCAGAAAAAGUAACAAAAAUCACCACUAGUUACAGAAGAGAGAGAGAGAGAGAGAGUAUGGUUUACCUUUACCUGGAGAAGUGUAAAGAUGCAGACUGGGAGUCUGAAAGUGGAGGAGGAGGAGGAGGAGAAAGAAAGAGGAGGG